AGCAUCAGAUGCGGGUUGGCACUGUUUUUUACCUGGGUGAGACAUAACAAACUGUCCCCUGAAUCGAGCCUCUGUCUUGAAGUUCACAACAAGACGGCCUUCUUCAUUGAUCCUCAUGCUGGUGGGAUACAUGGCACCUAUAAAAGAUGAGUGCACAAAUAACAACAACAUCAGAGAUGUCCCAGCAGAUUGUGCUUACGGUUGCAGGUUUAUGCUUAUAGGAAAUUUUAUAAAAGUUGUGGUGGAGCUGUCUGUACACUAAUCUCUCAGCUUCCGGUGGGCUUCCAAUACCAUCUUGCCAUAAUAUGGCAGUGUCAUACACAAAGGUAAGCCGUAGCUCAGACCGCAGGUCAAAAUGUUGCCAGCCGCCAACAGCAACAGGAGAGUGGAAGACGUAAGACACAAACAGAGGGACGCGCAGGGUUACAUAGGACUGAACAAGAUUCAGCACCUACAGACACAGUAAGCCAAACUGUGGUGGUGACAUCAGCCUCACCCUCGUCUCUGCUGAUGACCACAAUGGGCGAGCUGAGCUCCAGCCCAGCGUCUCCAUUGGCGUUGAAGGCUCGGGCGGCACAUUGCAC